CAGAGUAAUCCAAGUCCCUGUUGGAGUCAGUCAGAGCAUUUCCAUAGAGAGCCACUUUGCAUCAGCAGCUCCAUGCUCCAGUGCUCUGGGAGAGUUUAUAGUCCUGAGAGUUGAACUCUGGAUGACUGACAGCUGUCCUUCAUGACAACAGAAGACACAGAAAUGGUCCUCAUCAAAAAAACAAUGACUUUGACCUGCGUCCUCAUCUGGACUCUCCUCUGCUGCUGCUUCACAGAGUCCAGAGGUCAGGUCACAGUGACUCAGCGUGGAGCAGUGAGAUCUGCUGUGGGAGGCUCCGUCCCCAUCACAUGUAGGACCAGUCAGGAUGUUCAUGUGUGGAGCAACAACCAUCUUUUAGCCUGGUACCAACAGAGAGACGGAGAAAAACCUAAACUGCUCAUUUACGAUGCCAGCACUCGAGCAUCAGGGAUCCCAGAUCGUUUUACAGGCAGAGGAUCAAACUCUGACUUCACUCUGACCAUCAGUGGAGUUCAGACUGAAGAUGCAGCAGUUUAUUACUGUCAGAGUGAACAUUAUAUCAACAGUCAGCAUGUGUUCACACAGUGAAAAAGCGUCGUACAAAAACCUCCCUCAGUCAGACUGAACAGAAACUGAAGUGACAGCUGCAGCUGGAAGCUACUGCAGAGAGUGAUACACUUCACUGACACACACACACACACACACACA